rnacentral:rRNA from 1 species
GAGUUUGAUCGUGGCUCAGGAUGAACGCUGGCGGCGUGCCUAAUACAUGCAAGUCGAACGAACAGAUAAGGAGCUUGCUCCUUUGACGUUAGCGGCGGACGGGUGAGUAACACGUGGGUAACCUACUAUAAGACUGGAAUAACUCCCGGGAAACCGGGGCUAAUGCCGGAUAACAUGUUGAACCGCAUGGGUUCUACAGUGAAAGACGGUCUUGCUGUCACUUAUAGAUGGACCCGCGCCGUAUUAGCUAGUU